rnacentral:rRNA from 1 species
UACAGAGGGUGCAAGCGUUGUUCGGAAUUAUUGGGCGUAAAGCGCGUGUAGGCGGCGUGGCAAGUCGGGUGUGAAAGCCCUCAGCUCAACUGAGGAAGUGCGCCCGAAACUGCUGUGCUUGAGUGCCGGAGAGGGUGGCGGAAUUCCCCAAGUAGAGGUGAAAUUCGUAGAUAUGGGGAGGAACACCGGUGGCGAAGGCGGCCACCUGGACGGUAACUGACGCUGAGGCGCGAAAGCUAGGGUAGCAAACGGG